UACGGGGGAUGCAAGCGUUAUCCGGAUUUAUUGGGUUUAAAGGGUGCGUAGGCUGUGAGGUAAGUCAGCGGUGAAAUGCCCCCGCUCAACGGGGUGAAGUGCCAUUGAUACUGCCUUGCUGGAAUGCGGAUGCCGUGGGAGGAAUGUGUGGUGUAGCGGUGAAAUGCAUGGAUAUCACACAGAACACCGAUUGCGAAGGCACCUCACGAAUCCGCGAUUGACGCUGAUGCACGAAAGCGUGGGUAUCAAACAGG
rnacentral:rRNA from 1 species